UACGUAGGGUGCAAGCGUUGUCCGGAAUUAUUGGGCGUAAAGAGCUCGUAGGCGGUCUGUUGCGUCGGCUGUGAAAACCCGGGGCUCAACCCCGGGCCUGCAGCCGAUACGGGCAGACUAGAGUUCGGCAGGGGAGACUGGAAUUCCUGGUGUAGCGGUGAAAUGCGCAGAUAUCAGGAGGAACACCGGUGGCGAAGGCAGGUCUCUGGGCAUUAACUGACGCUGAGGAGCGAAAGCAUGGGGAGCGAACAGG
rnacentral:rRNA from 1 species